UACGAAGGGGGGCUAGCGUUGCUCGGAAUUACUGGGCGUAAAGGGCGCGUAGGCGGAUAUUUAAAGUCGGGGGGUGAAAUCCCCGGGGCUUAACCCUGGGAACUGCAGUCGAGACUGUCUAGCUAGAGUAUGGGAGAGGGAAGUGGAAUUUCAGGUGUAGCGGUGAAAUGCGUAGAUAUCUGGAGGAAUACCGGUGGCGAAGGCGGCAUCCUGGACCGACAUUGACGCUGAGGAGCGAAAAGCUAGGGGAGCCAAAACGGG
rnacentral:rRNA from 1 species